ACGAACGCUGGCGGCGUGCUUAACACCUGCAAGUCGAACGGAAAGGCCCCUUUGGGGGUACUCGAGUGGCGAACGGGUGAGUAACACGUGAGUAACCUGCCCUUGACUUCGGGCUAACUUCAGGAAACUGGGGCUAAUACCGGAUAGGAAUCCUUGCUGCAUGGUGGGGGUUGGAAAGCUUCGGCGGUUUUGGAUGGACUCGCGGCUUAUCAGCUUGUUGGUGGGGUAGUGGCUUACCAAGGCUUUGACGGGUAGCCGGCCUGAGAGGGCGACCGGCCACAUUGGGACUGAGAUACGGCCCAGACUCCUACGGGAGGCAGCAGUGGGGAAUAUUGCACAAUGGGCGGAAGCCUGAUGCAGCAACGCCGCGUGCGGGAUGACGGCCUUCGGGUUGGAAACCGCGUUCAGCAGGGGCGAAGCUUGUGGUGACGGUACCUGCAGAAGAAGCACCGGCUAACUACGUG
rnacentral:rRNA from 1 species